GCCGGCUUAGCUCAAUCGGUAGAGCAACUGACUUGUAAUCAGUAGGUUAUUGGUUCGAUUCCGAUAGCCGGCUCCA
rnacentral:tRNA from 1 species